rnacentral:rRNA from 1 species
AUUGAACGCUGGCGGCAUGCCUUACACAUGCAAGUCGAACGGUAACAGGGAGCUUGCUCCGCUGACGAGUGGCGAACGGGUGAGUAAUGUAUCGGAACGUACCAUUCAGUGGGGGAUAACGUAGCGAAAGUUACGCUAAUACCGCAUAUUCUGUGAGCAGGAAAGCAGGGGAUCGCAAGACCUUGCGCUGAUUGAGCGGCCGAUAUCAGAUUAGCUAGUUGGUGAGGUAAAGGCUCACCAAGGCGACGAUCUGUAGCGGGUCUGAGAGGAUGAUCCGCCACACUGGAACUGAGACACGGUCCAGACUCCUACGGGAGGCAGCAGUGGGGAAUUUUGGACAAUGGGGGCAACCCUGAUCCAGCCAUGCCGCGUGAGUGAAGAAGGUCUUCGGGUUGUAAAGCUCUUUCGGCCGGGAAAAAUCGCAUCAGUUAAUACCUGGUGUGGAUGAUGGUACCGGAAUAAGAAGCACCGGCUAACUACGUG